rnacentral:rRNA from 1 species
AUUCCGCUGAAUUUAAGCAUAUAAGUAAGUGGUGGAAAUUAAACCAACUGGGAUCUCUUCAGUAAUUGCGCAUGAACCAGGAUAUGCUUAGCUUGACAAAUGGAGCCGCUGGCUCUGAAUUGUAUUGUGGGAAUGUAUUACCAACAGAGGUGCAGGUGUCAGCCAUUUGAAAGAAAGCAUCAAUGAGGGUGAGAGUCCUGUUUGUCAUGUGCAGCCUUCUGUGCACGGUGUAUAUUUGCUGAGUCACACUCCUUGGCAUUGGAAUGCAAAGUGGGUGGUAAGUUUCAUGCAAAGGUAAAUAUGCAAUUGAGACUGAUAGCGCACAAGUACCAUGAGGAACAUAUGAAAAGGACUUUGAAAAGAGAAUUAAAUGAGUUUGUAUUUGCUAAACACAAAGUAAACAGACUUGAUUUCCUCAGUGAGAUUGUAGUGCUUGCUUAACAAUGGGUUUUGGCUGCAAGUGCAAUAAUUCUUGCUUUGUGUGCCAGUUUUUAUGUGGACAUUUGAUUACCUUUGCACAUGAAUGGUAAUUUUCCUGCGGGGUGUGGAUUGCAUAUGCAUGUAAUGAUUUGCAUGUUUGUUAAAUGUGUCUGGUGUAUUUGUUUGUGUCCUUGUCCUUGAGGUUGCUUUCUCCCUUGGGCUUACAUGCCCUGGCACACACAUUCUGGCAAAAUGCUUCUGCUUGACCCGUCUUGAAAAU